AAAGCAGCUCUUCUUUAGGGCUGUCAUCUGUUCUGGGGAUCUGUUGCUGUUCCUUGGGCCCACAGAAUACACUCCAUACCUCGGGACUCCAUAAUAUUGGACAAGGCUGGAAGGCCCAUUUGGAUCCUGCAGCCUCUUGUGCAGGAGGACCUCCUGAGGCUUCACGCAGGAGCUGGUGCACACCUGGAGGAGAGUGCUGGUGAACGGCAGUCAUCCUCUUCAGCGGUCCUCCCAGAGCUGUCCUUGGCAUGGCAGCCUCCACAGCCCCAGGUGUCACCCCCGGUUUCAUGUCUGCCUCGUACUCCAGACCUGUCCCUCCCAGGCUGGCCCAGAUGGAUCCUCUGCAGUGACUAACCCGAACCAGCACUGGGCAGGGACCCAAUAAACCUUUGUGAAUGGA
rnacentral:lncRNA from 1 species